AGUUUUAACUCAAGUGGCGGACGGGUGAGUAACACGUAAGAAUUUGCCUUUAGGAGGGGGAGUAACAACUGGAAACGGUUGCUAAUACCCCAUAUGCUUUCGAGUAAAAUGGAUUUUUCCGCCUAAAGAGAAGCUUGCGGCUGAUUAGCUUGUUGGUGAGGUAAUGGCUUACCAAGGCGACGAUCAGUAUCUGGUUUGAGAGGACGAUCAGACACACUGGAACUGAGACACGGUCCAG
rnacentral:rRNA from 1 species